AGCUGACACAAGUGGUGGGAGGUGCUCAUGCCACCUUCGUGGUGAUCAGAAACAGCCCCGUUGCAGGUGCCACCACUUCACUUAACACUGGGUGCAGGCGACUCCAUCCGCUCUGAAAAUCACAUCUUUGGUGGACAUCAGAGUGGGCCUGGGUUGUCUUUUCACUUUCUUGCUAAUGUCCUUGGAUGAUCCACAACUUUUCCAGAGCAGGCCAAGCUAUAAAUAAAGGAUGGACUGACCUCAUCAACUGUUAAAUUGGAGCCAUGAUGCGUUGCCUGGAACAUCGCGGAUGACUCCGAGCAGCACAGCAGACCAACGGCUGAGAAAGAGCUCAUUUGGUUCAUCUAACUAGGAUGCCGUCCUGCCAGAGCCCUGGGGGUUCUCAUCUCCUGGGGCAAGAGCAGCAUGCAACCCUCAUGAACCCAUCUUGGAGGGCAGUCGGGGAGCGCAAGACAAGACCAUUGGGAGCCUCAGGGUCGCUCUGGGUGGUCUCUGUGCUGGAGAGCUGUACCUCUCAUGAAAAAGACAGCUGACCAUAAGAAGGAGGUUAGCCUUUGUGGCUUGGGCAGCUGGCUUUUCAGAGAUGUGAAACCACACAUCUUCAGAGUGAACAGCUGCUUGCCCUGAUGUGCUCAAGGGGUGCAGGAUGUGGACACAUCCUAGUGAAUGAGUCAGACAAUGUAACCAGAUCUGUCCACAACAACCUGAUGGGUGACAUUGCCAUCUGCAGCAGUGCUGUACUUCCUCCCACCGAUUUGUAAAGUGCAGUCAGGACGCUAGAUCAACUCGCUGCUGCUGAGGCCAAUGACCUCUAGGGCAUAUUUCCAUGUUCUGUGCAGUAGCUGCUCGCCUUUGUAAGCAUGUGAGUUAUUCAUGCUGUCUGUUGUGAUCCUAAGGAAUCCAGCAGUCAGAACUAGAACUUCUGAAUUACAGCCCAGCAUUGCUGUUUGGCAUCACCAGAAAGCAGAUUUUGAGAUUAGCAUGGGGGCUGUUUAGCGGGGCAUUCUCUCUGGAGCAAUGUCUAGCCGGGGUGGGACUGGGGAGAGGGAGAAGUGGGCUGCUGAGGAUAUCACAGAGAGAUGGCAGCCUUUCUGCAGCAAAGGCCUGAGUGCACACUCACCUGGCUAUCACUGAGAGGACCCUCUGUUCAACAGGGCCACUUGGGGGUUCCCCUGCAUGGAGAUCUGAGUGUCCAGGGAGGGGACGUGGUGAGCAUUUCUCUGUUCAAAGGGUGCAAAGGAAAAUCUGCCCCAUUUCUGCCAAAGUGGUUGAUAUGGAGGAAAGGGGAGUGCCAGUUCUAUAGGCUGAGGUGGUGGCUGUUAGAACUGCUCCUGGGCUAGUUGGUGCUCUGGAAGUUUCCCCUCUAUGUGAGAUAAAAGAGCAUAUCUUUAAGAGCUGCAACUUUGAAGCUCUAAUAUAGAAUGCUUUUAGUGGCAAGCAAUACUUUGGAAGCAGCUUGAAGACCCCUGAAGAUCCUUGGUGACCUAGGCAGUUCCUUUAUUGCCAGGGCUGUGCAGGACUAAGCUUCAACAGCGCCACCAUGGGGCAGCAGAAGUAAUUGCAGUGGUGCAUUGAGGGUUUUCUUUUGCACUGAGGACUCAAGCCCCACCUUCACCUUUGGACCUGGUAAAUCUUUGGGGUUCAUGGACAAUUCUGAGAAGGAGAUACUUAAGAGAGUGAUGUUAGAAUUUGAUGUUUUGGUUUAUUGUACCAGAAAAUAAAAGAGGUUGGAUUUAUAACUCAGUUUGUGGUUCAUAUCAAUUUAAAUAGCUUUGAAAUGCUGAUAGGACCAUCAUGGUUUUUUGGUUGCUGAAAUCCCAUAACCAAAGCAAUGCCUCAAUAAGCUUUUAAUCCACAGCUCCCACACCCAGGUCUAUAACAAAGUUUUUACAUGCCUAUGGGGAAAAAGA